AUUACCUCAACGGGUGGGUUUCAGCUGGGCCUUCUGGUUCAACCGACUCCCACUUGUUUGACGUUACCCAUGUCUUUUUGCGUACAAUUUGUUUUCCCAGCAGGGCAUUUUGCCCCUACGGGAUAUCAAUUCACCCAUGUAUUUGCAGUCAAUGUCUGAAAAUAAUAAUAAUUACAACUUUUAACAACGGAUCUCUUGGUUCU
rnacentral:misc_RNA from 1 species